AGCCCCUGGUGGGACUUGAACCCACAAUCUUCGGCUCCGUAGACCGACGCCUUAUCCAUUAGGCCACAGGAGC
rnacentral:tRNA from 13 species